rnacentral:rRNA from 1 species
GGAUUAGAUACCCGGGUAGUCCACCCCGUAAACGUUGGGAACUAGUUGUGGGGACCAUUCCACGGUCUCCGUGACGCAGCUAACGCAUUAAGUUCCCCGCCUGGGGAGUACGGCCGCAAGGCUAAAACUCAAAGGAAUUGACGGGGACCCGCACAAGCGGCGGAGCAUGCGGAUUAAUUCGAUGCAACGCGAAGAACCUUACCAAGGCUUGACAUAUAGAGGAAACGUGCAGAAAUGUACGCCCCGCAAGGUCUCUAUACAGGUGGUGCAUGGUUGUCGUCAGCUCGUGUCGUGAGAUGUUGGGUUAAGUCCCGCAACGAGCGCAACCCUCGUUCUAUGUUGCCAGCACGUAAUGGUGGGAACUCAUGGGAUACUGCCGGGGUCAACUCGGAGG